UACCUUAAACUGGGGUGGCCUCU
rnacentral:piRNA from 1 species